AUUGAACGCUGGCGGCAGGCCUAACACAUGCAAGUCGAAUGGUAACAGGAAACAGCUUGCUGUUUCGCUGACGAGUGGCGGACGGGUGAGUAAUGUCUGGGAAACUGCCUGAUGGAGGGGGAUAACUACUGGAAACGGUAGCUAAUACCGCAUAACGUCGCAAGACCAAAGAGGGGGACCUUCGGGCCUCUUGCCAUCAGAUGUGCCCAGAUGGGAUUAGCUAGUAGGUGGGGUAACGGCUCACCUAAGCGACGAUCCCUAGCUGGUCUGAGAGGAUGACCAGCCACACUGGAACUGAGACACGGUCCAGACUCCUACGGGAGGCAGCAGUGGGGAAUAUUGCACAAUGGGCGCAAGCCUGAUGCAGCCAUGCCGCGUGUAUGAAGAAGGCCUUCGGGUUGUAAAGUACUUUCAGCGGGGAGGAAGGGAGUAAAGUUAAUACCUUUGCUCAUUGACGUUACCCGCAGAAGAAGCACCGGCUAACUCCGUG
rnacentral:rRNA from 1 species